UCUACAUCGCAUGUACUCAGCAUGACGGCCUCGAGUCAUGGCACGGACACGCCCCCUCGAGAGCCAAACACGGAAGGAAGAUGGCGUAGGGGAGGUACAGGGAGCCGGAAAUCGAGGAAAAGGGAAGCUCUGAACUCGCGCCUUUGUCUCAGAAGCGUUCUAUAAAACAGUGAUCUACAGUAUUUUUAGCCCCAGGGGACCGCUUUACACCGCCAGUUCCCCAGUAGGGCAGCGGACAAUCGGUACCGCAUCUCCGUCUCCCUCCGGCUUCCCGGCUCAGCUCUCGAUUUUGAAGGUGCCUUACAUGGCAAUGGAAAAACCCACAAAAGGUCCCGGAGAUUGAGCACCCUCUUCCAGUCUCCACGGAUACCGCACAGACAAAAGAGCAGAUAACACACCUGGACACAUGAAAGUAAGUAGUGUCCUGAGACCGGAAAGAAAAAACUCCAGGGCUGUGGCAUCAGUGUGACAGCCCCGCUCAGAAAGAAUUAAGCAAAAGGCGUGCAGGCUCUGUGUACACACGACCCAAGGAAUUUGGUGUCUGCCUCCCUGGGUGUGAUGGGAAUUUAGAGUCUGCCGGGCUUGGGCUGUUUUGCGGCGGGGUGGCUGAUUUCCAGUGCGUUCUUCCUGGGCUUAGGAAAAGACAUUGUACAGAAGCAAGUCCCAUGAGGGCUCAGGUCAGGCGUGAAGUCUUCUGCGGGGAUGAACUCACCAUUCACCCGCUGUCUCACAUCCUGGAGAAAAUUAGUCCUCAUGGGCCGGCAGGCCCGAUCACUGGGGAAAAUCUCUAAUUACCAUUAUAACCUCAGGAGAAGGUGGAAGCCAGCUCUGCUCUCCCAAGCUCUGCUUUCAAAGCUUCACAGUCCCAGCUAUCUAAGAAUAACUGUCCAUAUGUGUGAACAGAACAGAGAAUGUGAGUGCAAUUAGACGACACUUCUAUCUAGCUAGGAAACAGUCUUUGGUAUAGAAUCUUCUAAAGUAUAAAACAGUUGCUUUAGAUAUACUUGGUGAGUCAGGGUAUUAAAAAUCUAUUAAGUUUUGAUGCCUGAGAGAUUUUAUGGAGAGAUCAACAGAAUCUGGUGUUACUCUCAUUAUCUGCUUCUCAAAGCAAAAAUGGUUGUGAACUUCUGAAGCAUCCAUCUACCUGAUAAAGUCUCUGUGGGGACACUCAAUGCAUGGGUCCAGGGUCAAUUACCAGUGUCCUGCAUUCUAAGACUCCGCAGUAAGUGGUUAUACCUUCAAGUUGGGCAAAAAUGAGAACUUUGUGAUGACAGAGACUUCUGUGACAACCAAUGAGAACAAGGUGGGUAGUCACUGUCAGGCAUGGCCUCAAAAGUUGAGACUAAUAAGAAUCAUGUGGCCCCUCCCCUUGUAUCCCCACCCCACCCCAGUGAUCCUGACCCAGCAACUCUGAGACUCAGCCUGAAAUCUGCAUUUUUCCAAAGCACUGGACUGAUCCUGACACAAAAAGUCCUGUUAUUAUCUUAUUAACUCGAUAACUUUAUCUUUUAUCCACAGUUUAUUCUGAAUUAUCUUCUUUCUUCUUGCCUAUUUUCCAAGGGGUCUGGGUGCUCCAAGGACAGAGCAGUCCAAUGUGUGGGCUGCAGGCUUCUAACCAUCCUUUUCAAUGGUGAAGAGCAGAAACGUGAGUUUUAUUCAGUGUGGUCACACUGUCUUCCUCUUACUAAGAUGGCUCCGCCAGCCCGUGUGUCAGCCUUUGGAUUUGCACUCCAAAAGCCACUCCCUCCCUUACCCCUCAUAUAUAUUAUAUAUAGUCAUAUAAUCUACCUACCUAUCUACUGAAAUAGUCCAAGCGGCUAUGCUUUGGGGCCUUCAGUGACUGUGGGUAGAAUGCAGCCCACUGGUACAAUGCUCACUUAGCAUGUGCAAGACUUUGAGCUAUAAACGUGCUAUAAAAUUAAAACCUAUGGCUUUUUUACAGAUAGAUUUUACGUGUCUUAUUCUUGCUUUUGGCAGAAGACAAUGAGUCUGUAUCUAAAGUGCAAAAGAGAUAUUUAAAGAGUUGCUCAAGUGGGAGACUCUCAGGGAACCGCGCUGAGAUUUAAUUUGGGAAGCUCUCCGGACAGUCAAAACGACCAGGAAACUGUAAGAUUCUUAACCAGCUGCUCAGUCAGCUCUUUGGAAGAGCUGAUGGACUGGGCCGCCCUGUGCCCUCUACUUCCCAACAGUGACCCUGGGCUGUAAAUGAACUUACUGGUGCAUUUGGAAGGCUGAGAGCGCUUUUCUGUUCUGAGAAGUGAAAUCCUCAGGGUGAGAGCUUCUUCACUGAGGGCCAGCCUUGCUUCUCCCACUUCUAUUUAAGGAGUACUAAUUGCACUGGGACCUUGGGGAAGACUAGGAUCCCAUCACAGCCCAGGAAUGCCGGCCAAAGCCCCACUCAGACACAUUGACAUCUGGAGAGUCAAUCUGGUGACAAUGGACCUCACUGCUUCUAAGCACACUGAUUUGUCUAAGGCCAUUCUGCUGGAGGGUGGAGCAGUAAUGGGAAUGGGUAAUUAAUUUUUUAAUAAGUAACAAUAUAAUUCUGAAGCAUGUGGUAUCCAAAGCCCACAUGUGGAAAAAUAUUAGUUUAAAGAGACAUUAGCUAUCUAUUUAAUAACUAAUAUUGUAAAAACAUUUGUGUUUAUCCUUGUCUCUUGAACCCCUAUUAUUUAAAGGUGUUAUCUCUGCCAUAGCCAGUUUGCAAUGUGCCUUGUCAUCAAUUUAAUAUUAUUAGUAUUUUAUUUUUAAGAGAAAACUGAAUUAGCUUCAAGUUACUAUGCAAUGGGAGGGAAAAGACCAAUUUUUUCCACAAGAUACAGGAAAGUAACCAAAAGUACCACUGAUUCUUAAAUACAUAUGUAUAAUUUUUGAAAAGAUUUAUCUAUUAUAAGUCAGGUGAUGGUGGUGUACACCUUUAAUCCCAGCACUACAGAGUCAGAGACAGUCAGGGCUACAGUGAGUUUCAGGACAGUCAAGGCUACAUAGAGAAACCCUGUUUAGAAAAACCAAAAGUAAGAAGAAAAAAAACAACCACGUCUACUUUUGUAAAUGUCCACUUUUACUGUUUAAAAUAUUCAUGUUUAGUGUGUGCAUGCAUGUGCCAUUCACGUGUGCACACGGAGGUGAGGACACCACUGAAAACCAGAGUCUCACUGCAGCCCUGCCCCCCCUUCCCGGGAGAAUCACCCACCAUGACUUUGUUACC